AUACGUAGGGUGCAAGCGUUAAUCGGAAUUACUGGGCGUAAAGCGUGCGCAGGCGGUUUUGUAAGACAGAGGUGAAAUCCCCGGGCCCAACCUGGGAACUGCCUUUGUGACUGCAAGGCUAGAGGACGGCAGAGGGGGAUGGAAUUCCGCGUGUAGCAGUGAAAUGCGUAGAUAUGCGGAGGAACACCGAUGGCGAAGGCAAUCCCCUGGGCCUGUACUGACGCUCAUGCACGAAAGCGUGGGGAGCAAACAGGAUUAGAUACCCUGGUAGUCCACGCCCUAAACGAUGUCAACUGGUUGUUGGGUCUUCAUUGACUCAGUAACGAAGCUAACGCGUGAAGUUGACCGCCUGGGGAGUACGGCCGCAAGGUUGAAACUCAAAUGAAUUGGCGCGG
rnacentral:rRNA from 1 species